GCGCGUACUUGCGGCUCGGGGAGCGGCUGACCGUCUGCGUCGGGGACCCCAGGAGCCGGGGGACGCGGCUGCGGCGCCCGCCGGACUUGCACCCGGGCGCCACGGCGUCCUCUCUGUGGGAAACAACAGGCGGCGGAAACAGAAGCUCACAGACAGACUUGGAAGGGAGUGAACAGACACACAGAGGAGGAGGGGAGAGAUGAGACAAGGACCUGGAGAAGCCCAUGGAUGCCUCGGAGCUCUCAGAGGAGACACGGUGUUGGAGGGCCGCCAGGUGAGGCCGCGGCUGGACCAGAGAGAUGGGCUUGGAGGUGGUACGGGUGGUAUGACUGGAGAAUGCUGGGCUCAGACGAGGAAGGGUCAGGUUAGCUAUGGCAAGAAGGGUGAGACCCCGUGAGGUUCAGUUUCAAGAACAGGGUUGGGGUUUGGGGACUGAGGCCUGGGUCAGGGAUGACGUGCAAGAGCUGACACGUGCUGCCAGGGCCUCCCUGAGCCCCUGCUCAGGCCUCCCCAGCCUCCUUGAUUCCAGCUGGUCCACCUCAGAAGAAGGGGGACCCAAGGGGAGAGCCUGGAUAUGCCCAAAUCUCCCCCACCAAGUGGCACCCUGGGUCACAGGAGCAAGGAGCACUGAAACGGACCCCAUCGCGGAAGGAGUGACCGUAUCGGCAAAGCACCACGGCAGAGAGUGGGUGAUCAAGUGCCACAAGUUGGACUGUUAUCAAGGGAACAGUGAGAGAAUGAAGAAUUCGCUCUUAAAGAGUGAGUUCCUGAUGAUAAGCCUGAGGAAGAAUUAAGGGACCCUGAAGAUAAAAGGUCCCAUCGCCUCGCACCUGUUCCCUGCAGAAACUUCCCCCACUCAGCCAGUGGGCCGGGCCUCUCGCAGGGCCCUGGGAAGCUGGGAUCAGUGAAACUGUCGACCCUUUUGGGGCGCCCGGUCAGGUCUGGGAGCGAUGAGCUAUGGCCCUGUGUGGCAAGGCCCCCAGCCCAGGCGAAAUGACGUUCACACACCAAUGCGAAGGACGAGCCAUAAUGGCGGGGGGAGCCAGGCCUUGUGGACCGACCAGGAGCCACGGCUGACCUUCCUGGAGCAGCCAGUCUGUGUGUGUGCAGGGAGAGACCAUGUGAUCAAGUGAUCAGGACGGCCAGUGAGACUCUGACCUUUGAAUUUAUAGAAAUAAAAUUUGCCUUUGAUUCUGUCAUCUGAAUUCCUCAGAGAACCCGUCAGUUCCCAGGGCGGCCCUGGGCCUG